GGGAAUGUCUCGUUACGAUGUCAAAUAUGUUUUCUUUAUAAUUUUACUUUCCCUGUCCAGAAAAAAAUUUAAAAAAAUUGUUUAUAGCACAUCAGAACCAGGUAAAGGUUUUACGGAGAGGUUUAAUUUAAAAUAAAAUAAAAAUACGAGGUCCUGAAUAGUUUCCUUUGCUUCCUCCUAAGCCUCCGAGGCUUCACUCCCUAAGUCCCAGGCGGCCAAGACUAGUUUGCAAUCACCGGCGGUCGAUCUCCAACAAUGUUAAAUCACCGGCAGAUGAAGUUGAGGCACCCUAUAAAGCGUCAGUAAACAGACGGAUCUUGAAUCCAAAAUGUUUGAAAACGGGGCCAAGAGAACCUGGUGGUGCUGUUGAUCUCAUAACUUAUUACAAGCUUUGGUCUCAUAAUGUUGUUGGAGACACUGACGUCCAAAAAGGGGAAGGCAUGGAGUUGGAUCAGCUUCUUCAAAAUGCUUCCCAUUUGAGAGAAAGAAAUGCAUGUAUAUACCCUUUUGAUUUGGAUCUACUAAGGGAUGCUUUUCAUAUGAGGGAGACAACUCCUGUUAACCAGCCUUUCAAACGAUGUUGUAAUUUCUGUAUACGUAGACAGACAGAGAAAGGCAUCCCCACUGCGACAGCAAAGUUAAAAAGUGACUUUAAAGACAGAGAGAAGGGGCAUAGAAAACACAAAGACCAGCACAGUGACAAGGAUAGUAAGAAGAAGAUACACUGUCACACUGUCACAAGGGUAAGAGCAGUGUUAAGGGUAAGAAUAUAAAUGCUGUUCAUGGAUUUAGUCUCGAGGACUUGGAGAAACAGCAGGAGAUGGUUUGCACACCCAUCUUUUCUUGUUGCCCUCUGUUGAUUGCACGUCCUAAAUUUUGUUGCCUUUUGUUGAUUGCAUGAUUACUGUUUUUCUCUUUUCUUUUUUCCUUUUUUAUGAAAGCGUUGUUAAUAUGCUAACAACUUGCAGGACGGCUAUUAACUGGGAUGUCCAUUUGAGUGUUGUAUUCUUUCUUCCAUGGUUAUUUUUGUUUUUUUGAGGGAGGUGAGUGUCGGGAUACCCACUACAGAAUUAGGUGAAAGUAAAUUUUGGUCAUUUUCUGUGGCAUUUGUAUUGAUAUCAAGUCCUGUGGCCAUUUUUCCAAGUUUUUCACCACCUGACGUCCAGAACUCUGUGAGGGCGCCCACAUUCAUAAUGUAAAUUCAUGUUUGCUAAGACCACUCACGUCUUGGUAUUACAUUUUGAGGUACAAGAUCUGCUGGUUGAUUUCAAUGUGAGUCAGGGAACAGUGCAAAAUUGACUGUUUGACUCUCUUCUCUUAGUGCAAAGUACUGUCAAAAAAGGUGGAGGGUGGGGGGUGUGCAAGUGUAGGUGAAAUCCUGAUCAGUUUAUUCAUGUUGAGAUAUUGGUAAAUCCUGUAUGUAACAGGAUUUCUUUCUUGCAAACUAAUCUUUCUACCAGAAGGGCUCUGUUUUGAGUUGAUAUGGAUCUGUAAGAUUUAUGUUCAAAUUUCUGUUUUCAAUAUUGAGUGCUCAGAUUUUUUUGGAUCAUGGGUGACUGCUCAAAUUUGGAGUGGUACUCUAUGAAUUCUCUCUUGUUACCAGAAACUAUCUUUUAAAGGGAAGUGAGUUUCUCAUA